AUUGAACGCUGGCGGCAGGCCUAACACAUGCAAGUCGAGCGGCAGCGGAAAGUAGCUUGCUACUUUGCCGGCGAGCGGCGGACGGGUGAGUAAUGUCUGGGGAUCUGCCUGAGGGAGGGGGAUAACUACUGGAAACGGUAGCCAAUACCGCAUAACGUUGCAAGACCAAAGCGGGGGACCUUCGGGCCUCACGCCAGCGGAUGAACCCAGAGGGGAUUAGCUAGUUGGUGGGGUAAUGGCUCACCUAGGCGACGAUCCCUAGCUGGUCUGAGAGGAUGACCAGCCACACUGGGACUGAGACACGGCCCAGACUCCUACGGGAGGCAGCAGUGGGGAAUAUUGCACAAUGGGCGAAAGCCUGAUGCAGCCAUGCCGCGUGUGUGAAGAAGGCCUUCGGGUUGUAAAGCACUUUCAGCGAGGAGGAAGGGUGGUGUGUUAAUAGCACACGACAUUGACGUUACUCGCAGAAGAAGCACCGGCUAACUCCGUGCCAGCCGCCGCCGUAA
rnacentral:rRNA from 1 species